GACGAACGCUGGCGGCGUGCUUAACACAUGCAAGUCGAACGGAAAGGCCCUGCUUUUGUGGGGUGCUCGAGUGGCGAACGGGUGAGUAACACGUGAGUAACCUGCCCUUGACUUUGGGAUAACUUCAGGAAACUGGGGCUAAUACCGGAGAGGAGCUCCGGAUGGUGGGGGGGGUUGGGAAAUUUCGGGGGUUGGGGAUGGGAUCUCGGCUUAGCAACUUGGUGGGGGGGGAGUGGCUUAACAAGGCUUUGACGGGGUGGCCGGCUGGGAGGGUGACCGGCCACAUUGGGACUGAGGUACGGCCCAGACUCCUACGGGAGGCAGCAGUGGGGAAUAUUGCACAAUGGGCGGAAGCCUGAUGCAGCAACGCCGCGUGCGGGAUGACGGCCUUCGGGUUGUAAACCGCUUUCGCCUGUGACGAAGCGUGAGUGACGGUAAUGGGUAAAGAAGCACCGGCUAACUACGUG
rnacentral:rRNA from 1 species